AGUUCAUUAUUUAGUGGUUUUACUAGAUGGAUGUUUUUACUGUUUAUUGUAAUAACAAAAACGCUGCAGUACACCAUUUUCUUAAGGUACACACCUCUGAUGGCUAUAAUAUUAGUGACUGCAAAACAGGUCAAGUUCGGAUGUGGAGCAUACGCUGAUUCAGCGCGUUGCUGCACCCACCACACAGCGAAACCCCCCCAGGCAGAUACACGGUCCAGUCCCACCUUCCGGAAAUGGUCAUCUAUCUGCCGCAGCCAGGUGUUAUAUGGGCAUCUCCUUGGCCUGGUCCAGCCGCCUGGGUCCUCAGCAAUGAGGAUGAUGCGAGCUGGAUCACCCUCAGGGAAACGCGUCACAUGGCCGUAGUGCCGUAACUGACGCUCCCUCACAAUGCAGGUAAUGUGCCUCAUUCAGGACUCCAGCAAUGAGGAUCCUGUGAGCCGGAUCACCCUCAGGGAAACGCGCCACAUGGCCGUAGUGCCGUAACUGACGCUCCCUCACAAUGCAGGUAAUGUGCCUCAUUCAGGACUCCUGUAGCAACUGCUCGUUCGACACAAAGAGAACCAGAGGUACCCAAGGAUUCUCCGAAGAGACACAGUACCGAAGGAGUCCAGUCUUCAUCUCAGCUCAGUCAAGUCAAGAUUAGUAAAUCUUUAUUCACCAACGGACGCCCCACAGUUGCUGGACCCCAUGACCCUACCCAACACCCAAUCCAUACAAGCACUGAACAGGGUAGGAGCAAGAACACACCCCCGACGAAUCCCAGAAUCAAUUGGGAUUCUCCCUCCACUCUGCACAGCACUGCAGUGUACAGGCCGGCCAUGAUGCCCAGUAACUUUGGGGAGAUCGAGCGAAGCAGUACAAUGUCCCACAGGGCAACUCCAUCAACUGAGUCGAACUCUUUACGAAAAUUGACAAAAGCUGCAAAGAACCUCUGCCGAUAUUUGCGCUUGCAUUCGAUGAGAACCACGGCAGUGCAAGGAUACGGUCGAUGGUGGACUUCUUAGGUAUAAAACCAGACUUCUCUGGUCGCUGACAGGCAAGCAAGUGAUCAUGGAUCAAAACACGUAGAUAUAAAUGAUCUGCAAACAUUAACACUGUAAUCUUGCAGUUUCAAAUCACUCUGAUUUAAAACCUGUGGAGUGUCUUUGGGAUUAACUGGGACAUAGAAUUAGGGCAAAGCAAGACAGCUCCCUUUGGUAGUAGAACUUACUUGUAUAACACAAGGUUUUGGUUUUGUACCAGAAACCUCUGUGAUGCACUGAAGCUGCAAUUAAGGCCAAAUGUAGACUGGAAUGCUAUUAUUCUAUGCUCGUAAUGGGAUAAGUACCAUCCAUUUCAGUAAUGCAGCAGCUGAUUUGUUUGCUCUUAGGGCCCUGUUCCUGUUCAGCAAGUAAUUCGGAAGAGACAAGCAAGCUGUCCAAGACAAUAGUAACAAGGGUGGAUUCAACCAAAGUCCAGGGGGAUCAUUUGUUUUCUGCUGUGGCACUGGGAUCCCUUCCUUCGGAGAAGGAACAUCUUGAAACAUCCCCAUUCGCCCACAUCUAUCCUCACUUCCUCUCCAAAAACCCAGUUUCGGUUGUCGUCAGCUUCUGUCGAAAAAAAGGAAAUCCAUGCAUUCAGGCCUCCAGCCGUGAGCUGACUCCUCAGGCAGGAUGUGCGUUAUUUGCACAGCAACACAAUUGUGAUGUUUAUCUCUGUUUAGACUCGCUGUAAGAAUCUGUCUGCAGUUUGUAACAAGUUAAAUUUGUGUGAUUUGUAAUUUAAAAAAAAAAAUCUAUACUGCUGAGAAAAUAAAGGAAGGUGGUCAGCAAAUUUGAAUAAGAAUACUGAGCAAUACUGGGUACAUCUGUGGAGGAUGAUUAAAUUAUCAAAGCAGUAUCCAUCCAGUCAUCUCCCAAGUAUGUAUCCAGCUCAGGGUCGGCAGGUGCCAGGUGCCGAAGCCUGGGAGCUCAGGGCAUUAGACCUGGGGCAGCCUAGACGAGACACCGGUGGCAAAAGUAAAUCACUGUGUUAAAUGGCUAGUUAUUAGUUGCAUAACUGACAUUUCGAUUCGAAAUGACAAACUCUUGCCCAUUUAUAGAGAUGGACAUUUUACUGCAUUUGUCUAAUCUGCCUUGCUCAUACCUACUACAUUUUCCCAGAUAGUGUUGUAUGGCUUUACAUUAAGUUUCCUGCCAACCCAGAUGUCUUUAAAAAUACUUUUUGUAUAGAUUUCAUUUUGUUAAAUGAAUAGUGAAUGCAUAAAUACAUGUCAAAAGCUAAUUUAUGUAUGUUGAGAGUAAGAGGGUGUAAGAGUAUGUAUGUAAGCACUUACAGUAGAUAUGACCUUAAUUGGUGAUGAUGUAUGUGCGCUUUCUUGGUUUUCCAAGGUGAAUUCGCAUGGCUUAUAGACGGCCCUCCGUCCCUGCUAACGCUCUGUUGUUCUUUUCACAGGUGCACCCUGUGCAAGACGUUUAAGUGCAGCUUGCAUCACACUUUGAGCAAUAUGCAGUGGCGGAAGACGGUCGCUUGUUGUUCUGUCACUCAGGCAACAGUGCUUCAAAGGGAAGUCUGUAGUUGACAGCGGUUUCGACCGACUUAUCUGAAAAACACUUUACUUAAGGCCAUGUUUUUAGUAUUUUAUAAUCACAUUCAUAACGCAUUAUAAUGCAUUCAUAAAGCAUUAUAAACACGGCUGUAAAUAUAAAAAGGCAUAACACAUUAUAGGCAUGUUUAUUAUGCAUUAUGAAUGCUCUAUGAAGCUCUCAUCUAUAAUGCACUAAUGAUACCUUCAUAAUGCAGUACAAAGCAUCCUUAAUGCUCAUAACGACCAUUAUAAUGCAUUAUAAAGAUAAAGGAGAGCUUCAUAGAACAUUCACAAUGCAUAACACAUGGCUAUAAUAUAUCAUGCCUUUUGAUAAAUAUUUAUAGCCAUGUUUAUAAUGCUUUGUGAGUGCUUUAUUAUUUGCUAUAAAUGUCUUUGUAAUUUACUAAAAACAUGGUCUUUAAGUGUUAACCUCAUUUGUAACUCCACAGCCCCGAAGCCCCGCUGCAUACGUCACCUCCGAUGGUUUUUUUUCCGAAAUGCCACAAUGCAGCUGCCUUUGCUGACUUCCUCCCAUAGUUGAACACACCACUUCCUCAUCGCGAGUCUUCAUCUGAUUUCGGUUAGCUGACUUCAUAAACAAGUCAUCAUUUUAAGUCACACUGCCGACAUUUAGUGUGUAAUAAAUAUUUUCGCUUAAUAA